AAAAUUCUUCGGGGCAGGGUGCAAUUCCCUACCGGCGGUAAAGUCCGCGACCCGCGAAAGCGGCUGAUUUGGUGAGAUUCCAAAACCGACAGUACAGUCUGGAUGAGAGAAGAAAUUA
rnacentral:ncRNA from 2 species